rnacentral:misc_RNA from 1 species
GAAAUGACAGCGGCGGCAAGGAGGAUACGGACCAAAGUGUCCCCGAAUUGCUCAAGGAUCAAUUUCCAAAUGGAGGGUCCCUCGUGCUUGUCCAGUUCAUUGAAGCCAUGGAUUUUGCGUCGUCUCUCAAUGUCCGCUGACAGGACCCCUGAUUUUUGGGUCACCUGGAAAUGGUUCUCACAUGCAUAAACGUGCUUAGCCCAAGCCGGGAACAAAUUGGGAUUAGUGAGGAAUCGAGGGCUAUUUCGAGGGCUGUUGGUUUCAAGCUUACCAAUGUUUUGGCCACCUCUCCCCAUACUAGAGCCUGUAAAAA